rnacentral:lncRNA from 1 species
UUUGCCAAACCACGCAGUAUGAAAUAGCCCACACAACUCUUGGCCCCACUGCUUUCUGUCAUAUAAACUCCUUUUUAUUCCCUGCAUAGCCCUUGUCACUGUUUGAAAUUGCGUUGCUCAUUUAUGUAAUUGUUUAUUGUCUGCCUCCUCUUCAGAAAUGAGAACAGAAGCCUUAUCUGUAUCCUGAGGAUCUAAAACUGCUGAUUCCGGGGGUAUAUGUGCAGCUUUGUCACAUGGGUAUAUUGCGUGAUGCUGAGGUUUGGGAUUCGAAUGAUCCUGUGACCCAAAUCGUG